rnacentral:lncRNA from 1 species
GAUGGCGUUGCUUAGAGGGCUGAAUUUUCUCUGAGUUACAUACACAGACUGGGAUUCAUCUUGAUCAUCAGCAAAUUAGUUAUUCAGUCCAUAUUAAUUUCUCUCCAUAAUCUGUGGCAGAUGAAGGCUAUUCAUCCCUUUGUAAGAGGACCUCUUCUGUUCUGAGGAUUGGAUAGAACUCUCAACUCCUAUUUUAACCUUUUAACUUCAUUUUUUCUUUCCGUAAUCUACACAUGGAAUCAUUCUAACAGAGC